GAAGUCCCUGGCGGCCUCCCAAACCCAACCCACUAAGCCAUCACCCCAAACCCUGCACCUGCCCUGCCUCCUCCGCUGAUCUGCCCCCACUCAGUCCCGGCCGUGCUGGGACGAGUGGGCUCAAGCUGCCCACAGGAAGGCCUGGCUGCCCACAGGGGCCCCUCUGCAGCAGCCCCCCUGCAGCCCUCCACGCACCUCCCUCGGGGCCAUGGGUGCACCCCCCCCACCAGGAGACCGAGCAGGGGGAGAGACCAGCCCCAGUGCUGUAUGAGCCCUUCUGGCUCCCUGCUCUGCUCAGGCUCCUUCGGCCAAAUCCAUGUGUUUGCUGGUACGUGGUGCCCACGGACUCAGAGGUGAGUAGGGGACCCCCCCAAAACCCCCUAAGACUUGGCCCAAGUUUAUCUGACGAAGUCAGAGCGUGGACCACCCUCCCUGAGAUUUGAACCGACUCUUCUACUUCCAAACCUUGGCGUUGCUUCUUUUAAAGAGCAAAUACGACAGUCCGAAGCGCACUGAAGCAAAGCUGAAGGAUCUGGGGGCAGUUCUCAUGGUUUGGUCAAAGGCGAUCUGGACUCUCACGACCAAGCUUUAUGCUCUUCGUGGAAUCGCAACCUGACGAGGCCCCUCAGAUUCUCACACGUGGACACUUGAAGGGCCAGGUCGCAUCUUCUCCAGGUCUCAGACAUCGGCGAUUUGAAAUGGAGUCACUCAGCCCUUUGCAUCGACGAGGUGACAGAAGGGACAAAGGUAAGAUCUGCGAAUUUAUGAAGCUUCUUGGCUCAGGGGCUUGGGCAGGUGGACAGGCCAGCGGCUGGGAGGGAGGGGGGCGUGGGGUGGGGUCCUGCUGGGCCCCGCCCCCGCCCAGCUCAGGCCCCGCCCUCCAAGUGCUCUCAGAAGACCUGGCGGCACAGCUGUUCCUCUCCCGUCUGCGUUUAUCGUUUCCUCUCACUUAAAUCAUAGCUCUUGAGUCCUACUACGUGCUAAGGGCACACACACUGGGACACCCGGUGCUCUGGAGCUUUGCCGAC
rnacentral:lncRNA from 1 species